rnacentral:rRNA from 1 species
AAUAUUGGCCAAUGGGCGAAAGCCUGAUCCAGCCAUGCCGCGCGUGUGAAGAAGGUCUUCGGAUUGUAAAGUACUUUAAGUUGGGGGGAAGGGUUGUAGAUUAAUACUCUUCAUUUCUGACGUUACCGACAAAAUAAGCACCGGCUAACUUCGUGCCAUCAGCUGCGGUAAUACGAAGGGUACAAGAGGUAAUCGGAAUUACUGGGAGUAAAGCGCGCGUAGGUGGUUCGGUAAGUUGGAUGUGAAAGCGCCGGGCACAACCUGGGAACGGCAUCCAAAACUGGCGAGCUAGAGUACGGUAGAGGGGGGUGGAAUUUCCUGUGUAGCGGUGAAAUGGGUAGAUAUAGGAAGGAAAACCAGUGGGGAAGGGGACAACCUGGACUGAUACUGACACUGAGGUGCGAAAGCGUGGGGAGCAAACAGG